rnacentral:rRNA from 1 species
UGUUCGUUAUUUAGGGCGCAUGGUGGAUGCCUUGGCAUGCUGAGCCGAUGAAGGACGUGAAAGGCUGCGUUAAGCCUCGGGG